UACACACCGCCCGUCGCUACUACCGAUUGAAUGGCUCAGUGAGGCCUUCGGACUGGCCCAGGGAGGUCGGCAACGACCACCCAGGGCCGGAAAGUUGGUCAAACUCGGUCAUUUAGAGGAAGUAAAAGUCGUAACAAGGUCUCCGUAGGUGAACCUGCGGAGGGAUCAUUA
rnacentral:rRNA from 1 species